rnacentral:rRNA from 1 species
UACGUAGGUGGCAAGCGUUGUCCGGAUUUACUGGGCGUAAAGAGCGCGCAGGCGGUCGUUCAAGUCGCGUGUGAAAGCCCCCGGCUCAACUGGGGAGGGUCACGCGAUACUGAUCGACUCGAAGGCAGGAGAGGGUAGUGGAAUUCCCGGUGUAGUGGUGAAAUGCGUAGAUAUCGGGAGGAACACCUGCGGCGAAGGCGGGUUGCUGGGCUGACACUGACGCUGAUGCGCGAAAGCUAGGGGAGCGAACGGG